rnacentral:lncRNA from 1 species
UAUUCUCUCGUAGAUGGCGAGGAUUCGUGCUACCAGACGAGGUGAACGACUACCACUGCCACCCACUGAGGCACUAGAGGCCGCGGACGUGGUCAUAGUUGUGGCAGAGGCAAGGUAGCGAGGGUAGCACCUGUUGAUCCACCAGCCACGCCAGCUCCAAAUCAGGCUCUAGCAGAUGUACCAGUUCAAGCACCAGCAGUGCCUAAUAUGAUUCCGGGUCUACAUGAAACCUUGGCUCAAAUAUUGACAGUUUGCACUCGCUAGCUCAGGCAGUAUUAGCCAGUAUAGCAACAACUCCUUUAGAGGCCGGGGGAGACAAUUAGACCCCUGCUGCUCACACACCUGAGAAGGUGGUAUAGCUACAGACACCGGAGGCACUCCAACCUAGUCGGUUGCGCCAGCUUAGGAGUUCGUAAAGACAGUUAUGCCAAAUGAUGAGCAGCGUUGUCUUGAGAGGUUUGGUAGGCUGCAAUCUCCUUUAUUCAGUAGUUUUGAGGGCGAGGAUGCCCAUGGUUUUCUUGACAAGUGUCAGUGUAUGUUCCAGACAGUAGGAAUUCUUGAUUCUAGUGGUGUAUCAUUUACCACUUUUUAGUUUAUUGGGUCUGCCUUCACUUGGUGAGAGACAUAUGAGCGGCGCAGGCCGGUUGGUGCAGCGCCCCUUACUUGGCAGGAGUUCCACUUUCGUCUUGGAGAAAUAUGUACCAUAGUCCCGUAGGGAGGAGCUGCAUAUACAGUUUGAGUGGCUGAAGUAGGGAGAUAUGACUGUGUCUCAGUAUGAGGGGAGGUAUUCUGAGUUGGCUCGUCAUGCCCGUUGGAUGGUUCCGACUGACCGUGAGAGGAUUAGGAGAUUUGUGGAUGGUCUUAACUAUCAUUUUCGUAUUUUGAUGACUAGAGAGAGAGUAUUGGGUAUCUCCUUUGAUGAGGUGGCUGAUAUCGCUCGUGAGAUUGAGACGGCUCGCCGGCUGGAUAGAGAGGAGAGGGAGGCCAACAGGCCUCGAGGUUCUGGCAAUUUCAGUGGUGCUCCUUCGAGGGGCGAGUUCCAGCAUGGUCGAGGCCAUUCUUUCAGGCCAGCUAAGUCGACCCGUCCAGAGUAUUGUGGGGAAUCUUCAGGCCAUGGUUUUCAGGGUUCUCAACAGGGCUAGUCAUCACUCAGCGCCCUCCCAGCUCAGAGUUCAUUUCGUGCCCCAUCAGUCCAGGGUUCUUCCAUGGCAGGUCCUUCUGGUGCCAAGGGUUCCCUUUAGUCCCUAUCUCCACCACUGGGUAUUUGUAAUGAGUUCGAAAAGUUUAGGCAUAUGAGGAGGUAGUGUCCUCGACUUCAUGAUGGUCAGUAUCAACAGAGGGGUCCGCCCUCGACUUUUGCUCUAGUUACUUCACCAUCCGCCCAGCCAGUUAUGGGUAGAUGUUAGGAAGCCAGGGGUCGCCCCAGAGGUGGAUGUCGAUCAGGUGGUGGCCAGACUCAUUUCUAUGUUAUCCCACGCAGGACAUAUGCUAUUACUUCAGAUGCAGUCAUUACAGGGAAUGUUUUAGUUUGCCACAGAGAUGCCUCUGUAUUAUUUGAUUCUAGUUCCACCUAUUCAUAUGUGUCUUCAUAUUUUUCUCUUAUUUGGGUAUGCCCCGAGAGUCUCUUUCUUUACCUGUUUAUAUAUCUACCCCGGUGGGCGAUAUUAUUGUUGUGGAUAGUGUGUACCAGUUAUGUGUUGCGAUUAUUGGGGGUUUGGAGACCCGAGUUGAUCUAUUGCUAUUGGGCAUGGAUUGGUUAUCUCCGUGUCAUACUAUUCUAGACUGUUAUGCUAAGACAAUUACUUUGGUUAUGCUGGGAGUACCGAGGAUCAAGUGGCGUGGUAUUACUAAUUAUGUUCUAGCAGAGUGAUUUCUUUCUUGAAAGCACAACAUAUGGUUGGGAAGGGUCUUCUGUCAUAUCUAGCUUUGUAUGCGAGAUGUUAGAGCUGAUACUCCAAAUAUUGAUUCUGUUCUAGUUGUAAGGGAUUUUCCUGAUGUAUUUCCUGUAGACCUGCCGGGCAUGACACUGGACAGGGACAUUGAUUUUGGUAUUGACAUGGUGUCGGGCACUCAGCCCAUUUCCAUUCCCCCAUAUUACAUGGCACCAGCAGAGUUGAAAGAGUUGAAGGAGGAGCUUCAGGAACUCCUAGAUAAGGGGUUCAUUCGGCCGACUAACAGUUCUGUUUGUGAAAAAGAAGGAUGGCAAAAUGAUAGUAUGCAUUGAUUACAGACAAUUGAACAAUGUAAUAGUGAAGAACAAAUAUCCCUUGCCACGCAUUGAUCUCCAUUCGGGCUAUCACCAGUUAAAGAUCAGGGAUUCAAAUAUACCUAAGACUACUUUCAGGACUAGAUAUGGUCACUAUGAAUUUCUUGUCAUGUCUUUCGGGCUGACCAAUGCCCUAUCAGCGUUCAUGCAUUUGAUAAACAGUGUAUUUUGGCCUUAUUUGGAUUUGUUUGUGUUUGUAUUCAUUGAUGAUAUUCUGGUGUACUCGCGCAGUCAGGAGGAGCACGCAGAGCAUUUGCGACUAGUGUUGUAGAGAUGAAGGGAGGAGAAGCUAUAUGUAAAGCUCUCCAAGUGUGAGUUUUGGCUUGGUUAAGUGGCUUUCUUGGGACACGUGGUGUCCAGCGAGGGUAUUCAGGUUGAUCCAAAGAAGAUAGAUGCGGUGCAUAGUUGGUCUAGACAAUCCUCAACCACAAAGAUACAUAGAUUUCUUGGGUUGGCAGGCUAUUAUCACUGGUUUGUUCAGGAAUUUUCAUCCAUUGCAUCGACUUGACCAAGUUGACUCAAAAGGGUUCUCCAUUUGGAUGGUCGGAUGAGUGCGAGGAGAGCUUUCAGAAGCUCAAGACAACUUUGACCACAACUCCAGUGUUAGUAUUGCCAUCAACUUCAGGUUCAUAUAUCGUAUAUUGUGAUGCUUCGAGAUUUGGGAUUGGUUGUGUGUUGAUGCAGGAGGGUAGAGUUAUUGUUUAUGUUUCUCGUCAAUUGAAGCCACAUGAGAAGAACUACACUGUCUUUGAUUUAGAGUUGGUUGUCAUAGUUCAUGCAUUGAAGAUUUGGAGGCACUAUAUGUAUGGCGUGUCUUGUAAGGUAUUAACCGAUCAUCGCAGUCUUAAACAUUUGUUCAAGCAAAAUGAUCCCAAUUUGAGGCAAUAGAGGUGGCUAGAUUUGCUUAAGGAUUAUGAUAUUACUAUUAUGUAUCAUCCGGGAAAGGCCAAUAUAGUGGUUGAUGCUUUGAGUCGAAAGGCAGUGAGUAUGGGGAGUUUGACGUAUAUUCCAAUUGGAGAGAGGCCCCUUGCAGCCGAUGUUCAGGCCUUGGCCAAUUGGUUUGUGAGAUUAGAUAUUUCGGAGUCUAGCCGGGUGUUGGCUUGCGUGGUUUCUCGGUCUUCCUUAUAUGAUCGCAUCAGAGAGUGCCAUUAUGAUGAUAUGCAUUUGCUUGUCCUUAGGGACAAAUUUUAGCGUGAUGAUGCCAGAGAUGUGACCAUAGGUGAUGAUGGCGGGUUGAGGUUGCAAGGUCGUAUAUAUGUGCUCAAUGUGGAUGGGCUUAAAGAGUUGAUUCUUGAAGAGACCACAGCUCGCGGUAUUCCAUUCAUCUGGUUGUCGCGAAAAUGUAUCAGGAUUUGAGACAACACUAUUGGUGGAGAAGAAUGAAGAAAGAUAUUGUGGGAUUUGUGGCUCGGUGUCUCAACUGUCAUCAGGUGAAAUAUUAGCAUCGGAGACUGGGUGGCUUGCUUCUGCAGAUGGUUAUUCCCGAGCGGAAGUGGGAGAGAGUCACUAUGGAUUCUGUAAGUGGAAGUUCGAUUCGAUUUGGGUGAUUGUGGAUUGGCUGACCAAGUCCCUGCACUUCAUUCCGGUGUAUACUACCUAUUAUUUAGAGUGGCUAGCAGGGAUCUUUAUCCGAGAGAUUGUUCGGUUGUAUGAUGUUCCAGUGUCUAUUAUCUCAGAUAGAGGUAUUCAGUUUACUUCUCAAUUUUGGAAGAUUUUUUAGUGAGAGUUGGUACUCAGGUGGAGUUGAGCACAACGUUUCAUCCUCAGACAGAUGGGUAGUCCGAGCAUACUAUUCACAUAUUAGAGGACAUGUUGCGUGCUUGUGUUAUUGAUUUCGGAGGUUCUUGGGAUGAGUUUUUGCCGCUUGGAGAGUUUGACAACAACAACUUAUAUCCGUCCAAUAUUUAGAUGGCACCGUAUAAGGCCUUGUAUGAGAGACAGUGUAGAUCCCCAGUUGGUUGGUAUGAGCCCGGCGAGGCUAGGCUAUUGGGGACAUAUUUGGUUUAGGAUGCCUUAGAGAAAGUGAAGGUGAUUCAGGAGAGACUUCGUACAACGCAGUCGCGUCAAAAUAGUUAUGCGGACCAGAAGGAUCGAGAUGUGUCUUACAUGGUGGGUGAGAAGGUUUUGCUGAAGGUUUCGCUCAUGAAGGGUGCUAUGAGAUUUGGAAAGCAAGGGAAGUUGAGUUUGUGGUUCAUUGGACCUUUUGAGGUACUUAGGAGGAUUGGGGAGGUGACUUAUAUGCUUGCUUUGCAAUCCAGCUUAUCGAGUAUGUAUCCGGUAUUUCAUGUUUCUAUGCUCCAGAAGUAUGUUGGGGACCCGUCUCAUGUUUUGGACUUCAGCACAGUUCAGUUAGAUGGUGAUUUGACCAAUGAUAUAGAGCCAAUGGCUAUUUUGGGUCGUGAGGUUCAAAAAUUGAGAUCAAAGGAUAUAGCUUCAGUGAAAGUACAAUGGAGAGGUCGGCCCGUGGAGGAGGCUACCCGGAAGACCGAGCGUGAGAUGCAGAGCAAAUAUCCUUACCUAUUUGAGGCUUCAGGUAUAUUUCUUGACUCGCUCGAGGAUGAGCGUUUGUUUUAGUUGGGGAUGAAUUACCGCUCCAUUUCACCCAUUUUCAGCUUCUUUAUGCUUCAUUAUCGGUAUUUGGUGUGAUUGAGUCGAUUUGGUUUGGGUAGGAAAUGAGACACUUAGUCUCUUUAGUGAAAGUUUAGCUUGGAAAAGUCAACCGGAUGUUGAUUUAUGAGUUAGAGGAAUCGGAUGUGAUUUUCAGUGGUUCAGUUAGCUUCGGAGGAUGAUUUUUGACUUAGGAAUGUGAUCGGAAGUGGUUUUGAAGGUGGUGAAGAAUUAUGCUUGAAUUGGUUAAGUUAGUAUUUUGGCGAUUUCCAAUAGGGAAUGAACAUGUAAUAAUGUUAUAGAGUAAUUUGAACAUAAUUUAAGUCUUGUGAAACCAAAUAAAGGAAAAUAAGUAACAGCUCAAUAAGAACAACCGCUUUCACACCAGAUUUAUUCAAGAAUCUCCAUGAGGUACCAAACCUUAUAUUCACAAAUCACUAGUCCCCAUUCAUGAACCUUAAUCACUUGGCAUCUUGUGCCCGCAUUACAAUCCAUAACCGUACGAAUGACUUACAUGCCAAGAUAGUGACAAUAUCUAAUAUUCACACGGACCACUCACAUGCCAACAAUAAUAAUGACUCAUGACUAGCACAAACAACUCACGUGCCAAUAGAACAACUCUCCCACAGAAGGCUAGACAAAAGUACAUGUACGUGGUCAAUAAAAUCAAGAUCCAUUUUCUUAAACCGAUAUGGGUGAUUAAUUACGUGUAUGUUUGUGCAAGUGUUCUAUCAUAAUUCAAGCCAACCACUAAUAGUAAAGACAAUGAAUGUCAUAUAAGAACGAUCAUCACGAAAUGUACAAGGUAUAACUCAUGCAAAGUAGGCAUCCACUACAAUUGCAACGCCCCCAAUCCAUCACAAGUCAUCACAAAUCAUUCCCCGAAAUAGCCCUCAUUGUCUCUCUACAUCCGCAACAUUAAAGUAAAUGCCUGCCAUGUCUCGCCGCACAUGCAUAAUAAUAUUUCGACCUUGUCUUGUCAUAUGCACAAACCCACAUAUAUAACUUGUCUUGUCACGCUGCAUAUGCAAAUAUCAAUAAUAACAACACAGACAACUCACGUGCGAACAUCCUGACAGUCCUCUCAACAAUACCACGUGUGCCAAAACAUAACAACACAAUAAAAUAACUUUCACAACAUGUGCCUAUAUGCCACGAUAUUUCCUCAUAAGAGUUUUAGUAAUACAACCACCCAUAGCCCUCGUCUCAGCAACUCUGGGUAAAAUAACAACAACAACAACAAUAACAUGAGAGUACGACAAAUAAAUAAACACAAGAACUUCAGAACACAAAUAAACGGAAGUAAGAGCUCACAACGCAUGACACGACAGGAAAUAAUGGUUUUAACAAUAAUAGCUCAACAAGUGGAGAGAUAAUGUGUAAUAAUUAUUCCACAAAAAUACAACUCGACGGUAAGAGAGAUAACAUAAAUAUAUGAUUCCAAAUAAGGAUAAGUCAACAAUGAAAGGGAUAACAAAUACUUCAAUUAAAGUUAAGCAGUUACAGAAUAGAUAAUAAUAACCUCAAUUAAGAUUAAGCAGUUAUUUAAGAGAUAAUAAUAAAUUCAAUUAAGAAAAUAUAAGAACUUAAUUGGCAACAAGGAUAGAACAUGAAUCAAUUAAUUCUAGACAAGACACAUAAAGGUAAAUUUAACAAAUAGAGGAUUUAACAUGAUAAGACAGUUUCAUAUCUACUAUACAUAAGAACCCAGUAUCCCUAAAUCGUCAAAUUUACACAAAUACGCUUGAGUAUGUACUCGUCACCUUGCGUACACGGCCUUCACAUGAGACAAUUAGCACAAAUGACUCAAAUCCUAAAGGGUAGUUUCCCUACACAAAGUUAGGCAAGAUACUUACCUCAAAGAAGCUAGACCAAUACUCUAAAAUGACCUUCUUGUGUGAAACAACCUCAGGACAACUUCAUAUAAUGAAUAAUACUCAUAGGAAACAAUAUCGAAUAAUAAAUCUUCAAUAUUUAAUAAAAACUAAAAAGUCAACCCCGGGCCUGCACCUCGAAACUUGAUAAAAUUCACAAAAUCUGAGCACUCAUUUGAUAACGAGUCCAACUAUACAAGAAUUAUGCAAAUCUCCAAAAUUUAGUCUAUGAAGUUUUCACAAUUUCCCCUCAAAUUUCCAACUCUAUUCACUAAUUACAUGAUGAAAAUAACAAUGGAUUCAUGAAUCCAUGAAAAAUCAUCACUAACCAAGCUCCCCAUGUCCAAAAAUGAGAAAUGAAACCAACCCCUCGAAUAUAUGCUUCUGUCCAGGAAUUUGCACGUCACGAUCACAUAAAUACACUUGCAAUCACGAAGAAGAAACAGUGACUGCCCCAAAAAUGCACUAAGCAGUCGCGAAGAAUAAUUGACAAUGCCCCACAAAAAGCUCUACGCGAAUGCGGAGAACAAUCAAUUUGGCCUCACCACCAUGAUCCUCCACUGCGUGAUCACGAAAUAACAAAUGCUAAUGUGAUGGAGCAACUUGCACUUAGGUAAUCACGGGCAAUACUGUCACACCCAAUUUCCUCGCGAAUAAGGGUGUCGACACGUGAUAAUUCUUUUAAGUGGGUGUUAAAAGAGAAGAGUUGCUAUCUAACGAUUUCAAGAUGCGCUAAGGCACCUAUUUGCAAAUAACUCUAGUUUAACUAGGCGACACCAGCAAAUAUCGGGUAAGGGCUCAAUGAAAUGAGGGCAAGUAGUAACGCAUAAGGCAAGUAACUGCUUUAUAAUUAUCGUCUCUCAACUUAGUUAACUCGGAGGCCAACAUGAGCCCUUAUUUGCCUUAUGUGUUACUACUUGUUUAAGUUCCAAUGUGCUCCCUUCUAUGUAAUGCUGAUAAGAAUAGAAAUAGAAACUUAAAAUUUUCUUUAAGUCUAGAACCAUCACUUCGAAUAGUUCCAAAACCUCAUGGACUAUAGAAAGGAACGAGUUUGAAUUAACAUGUGAUUUAGAAUUAAUUAGUGCGCUCUUAGGUUAGCAACUUAAAAUUAAUAUUGAGGGUAAUUGGACAUGAUACAUAAAUUGCCCGAAUAACUAUUGCCCUUUUGGCUAUAAAAGUCUUAGCAGACUUUGCAUGAGAGUUGAUCAAUCAGGCUUAAAAAUUUAGGCCCCCCUUUUAUGUAACUAAGUAGAAUUUCUACAAUAUAUAAUCCUUACAUUUUUAUACAUGACUAGUUUUAACUAAUUGAUUUUAAUUUAUGUAUAUACUUGACCACUUAGGAUUAAUUGACACCUCAGCAACCUACAUCCCAGUUUAAUUCAAUAAUCCCACAUAGUCUAGAAUUCGGUCGGGAACCACAUUUGUGCACCUCGAAAAGUGCCUAAUACCCUUUCUUUGAGGUAAUUUGAGCCCUUACAUGAUCUUUGGUGACGUUGACUAGUUAAAACAAAGUUAUUUGUAAAUAGGUACCUUAACAUACCUUAAAAAUCGUUAGGUGGCAACUCUUUUUUUUAGUACCCGUUUAAAAGAGUUAUCACGUGUCGAAACCCGUAUUCGUGAAAAAAUGGGGCGAGACAAAUACCAAGCGAACGCGGAUAAGGAAAUAUGACUUGUCACCAAACAACAUUCACGAUCGCGAUGAAACCUUCAUGAUCACAAAGAAGAAUAUCAAACACCAGCAACAAUAUUCCAAAAUAGGAGGAAAUGGCCGGUAGCCCAGUCGAAACACACCCGAGGCUCCCUGGGAUCACGUCGAAACAUACCGAAAAGUUCCAUAAUGUAACGUGGACCUGCUCGAGGCCUCAAAUCACAUCAAACAAUGUAGAAACUACGAGUCGCUUAUCAAUCAAACUUAUGAAUUUCCAAACCUUCCAACUUCUAAAAUUCGUGCCGAAACAUAUCAAAUCAACCCAUAAAUGACGUCAAAUUUUGCAUGCAAGUAUCAAAAUGACAUGUUGAAGUGCAAAAUAGGUAUAAUCUUUAUAUCAACAACAACUCAGUAAAAUUUCACCAAUGGGGUUUGAGAAGGGUAGAAUGUACGCAGACCUUACCCUUACCCAGGAGGGGAUAGAGAGGUUGUUUUCAGGAGAUCCUCGGCUCAAAGAUAAUAGAUAUGUGAUAAUAAAACCAAAAAAAUAAUACCAGCAACGUGAGAGACAACAAAUAAAUUGAAAAGUAGCAACACAAAUAUUAUGCAAUAAUGUGAAAUACAACAUAAAUUGUUAGCAGAGCUAGACAAAACACUAUCAUACUCAUCGGCACAAAGAGGAAAACCGGGAUAGAGGGGAAAACCGCUCGACUACCCUUAACCUACAACCCUAAUGCUCGACCUCUACACAUUCCUAUCAAAAGCUAUGUCCUCGAAAAUCUGGAGCCGCACCAUGUCCUAUAUAAUCACCUCGUCCCAAUACUUCUUAGGCCGCCCUCUACCUCUUCCCGUACCUACCAAAACCAACCGCUCAUACCUCCUAACGGGGCAUUUAGGCUUAUUCUCUGCACGUGUCCGAACCAUCCAAGUUGCGCUUCCCACAUCUUGUCGUCCACUAGAGCCAUGCACAUCCUCUCCCGAAUAUCUUCAUUCCUAAUCUUAUCCAGCCUAGUGUGCCCACACAUCUAUCUCAAUAUUCUUAUUUUUGCUACUUUGAUCUUUUGGAUAUGUAAAUUUUUGACUAGCCAAUACUCAACCCAAUACAAUAUGGCCAGGCUAACCACCGCUCUAUAAAACUUACCUUUGAGUUUCUGUGGCACACUCUUGAUACACAAGACUCCAUACGUUUGCAUAACACCCCCGUCGAUCUCCCCAUCACCCUGGAUAAUUGACCUUAAGUACUUAAAACUUUCUCUCUUGAGGAUGACCUGUGAGUGAAGCCUGACUUCCGCAUCAUCUUUCCCCGCCACGUCUCUGAAUUUACAUUCCACAUAUUCCAUCUUAGUCCUACUUAACUUGAAACAUUUAGACUUCAGGGCCUGCCUCAAUAUCUCCAGUAUCCCAUUAACGUUGUAUCGCGUCUCAUCAAUCAGAACUAUAUCAUCAGCGAACAACAUACACCAUGACACAUCUCCUUGGAUACGGUGUGUCAGUGCAUCCAGCGCCAUGGCAAAUAAGAAUGGGCUGAGCGCAGAUCCUUGGUGUAACCCCAUAACCACUGGAAAAAGCUCCGAGUCACCUGCCACAAUCCUAACCGGAGUCAUAGCUCCAUCAUACAUAUCCUUUAUUGCUCUUAUAUAAGCCACCGACACACCUUUCACCUUUAUACAUCUCCAAAGGAUGUCCUUGAGGACCUUGUCAUACGCCAUCUCUAGGUCAAUAAACACCAUAUGCAAAUCCGUCUUCCUAUCCCUGUAUUGUUCUAUCAACCUCCUGAUAAGGUGGAUAGCUUUCGUAGAAGAACGCUCCGGCAUGAAUCCAAACUAAUUUUUCUGUAUAGACACCGCCCUCCCUGUCCUCCCUUCCACCACCCUCUCCUAAACUUUCAUGGUAUGACUUGGUAACUUGAUACCCCUAUAGUUGUUAUAAUUAUAUAUAUUACCUUUGUUCUUGUACACCGAAACCAUUAUACUCCACCACCACUCAUCAAACAUCCUUUUCGUUCUGAAGAUAACAUCAAACAACCGAAUCAGCCACUCCAAGCAUGCUCUACCCUUUAUGUGAUGUUUCUAAAUAAAAGAAGACAUAAACUUUAAGUACCCGUAUGUGCAUUUAGCCUAUUACAAAAACAUAUUUACCAUUCAAUACGGAAUAAAGUAGAACAAGUAAUACGUGCAUUAUCAAUAUUUGAUAAAAUAUUUAAAGAUAAAAUUGUCUUCCCAACAGGUACUUCCUAAAGAAACGAUUCCUACUAUAUAACAAUCAAUGCAUUAUUUAAUUUUUUAUAUAAAGACUUCAUAUUAUUAACCACUUAUAAAUAAUUUAUGCAUUAUAAUCUCUUUGUAACCCACAAACCAAAUGCUUUUCAUAGAUCGUAGUAUAAAAAAGAUAAACAUAAUCCUGAGAUUGCUAAUUUUUUUUCUUUUUCUGGUUAAGAUUGCUAAUUUUGAAAUUAAAAUUCUACCAAUAAAUCUCAUAUUUUAUCUCAUAUUUUAAAAUUAUAAUACCAUGUCCUUGUUACACGAACAUGGUUAUGAAGUAUGUAUUUGGCCUAAAAUAAAAUUCUUUUGAAGCAUGGGUGGAAAUACGAAACUUUUCAGAAUUUAAAGGGGAGGCAAGCACAACUAAUGAAACUAGAAGUCUCUGAACGUAAUUCAUAGAAAAAUAUAUGAAUGUGUAAAGUUACCAACCUUUAAAGGCUUAGAACAGGUAGGUAGGGUUUAGGGUUUUGGAAAGAAGACCAAACUCGCAAAAUAAAAACAAAAACGCAAUCAAUUCGCCUAAAUCACUCUUCUUCUUUUAGCAGAGGAGAGCACUCAAGAUGAUUACGGGUGGAAGAAACUUGGUUUCCUCACAACCUGCAUUUUCAAACGACGCAAAGAAACUUCUCGUAUGCACAGGAAAUACCGUUUCUGUUUUCAGCACCUCCACUGGCUUACAGGUUCGUUCACUUUAUUCGGCAGCAAAAAAAUGCGUUGUUUAAGGUAUUGUAAGUUGUUAAAUUAUUUUUAUUUUACAGAUUGCUGAAUUAGAAGGUCAUAAGGCAUUAGUAACUUCGGUGGUUGUAGUACCGUCUACUACUCCAGCAGGCAAAAUAUUGUGCUACUGUUGGACAGCGUCACAUGAUGGUACCAUCAAAUAUUGGGACUUUUCGGUGCCGGAGCUGAUGAAAAGUAUUGAUGCUCAGUUCCCCAUUUACUCUAUGGUAACAGCUUCUCAUUCACAUGAUGGUACCAUCAAAUUUUGGGACUUUUCAGUGCCGGAGCUGAUGAAAAGUAUUGAUGUCCAGUUCCCCAUUUACUCUAUGGUAACAGCUUCUCACUCUAAGAGUACUAUUUAAAGAUUGAUUAAGGAAGUGCUUUGCAGGUUUUGUGGCAUAAUCACUAGUGUUUUGCAUCAAAAUUAUGCUUACGUGGUCACUUUGGCAUUUGUAAGUUAUAUAGUUACGUCAAGUCAUAUGACUCUGCAUCCGGCCAAUUUCAGUGCUAAAGUUGAGAAUCUUCUGAAGAACAUGUUGAUUUUACUAUCCAAUAUGAAAAUAAAAAUAAAAAAUGAACUUACAAGGAGAAAAUGGAUUGUUCGCGAAGCAAAGGAUCUAGCAUCAGGUAAUUCAGGUGCCAGUGGUGUUCUAAUUUGCUAAAUAAAUGCUAUGCCGAUGCUUGAGAGUUUCUGGAAUAAUAUUUAGGCAAGCACACAAAGUAUUUAAAUGGGACAAAGUUAGGAGUAGUUGGCUGUGAGUGUGUUUGCUACUAGAGGAAAUCGUAGGUUCCUAGAGACCAGGAAUGUGUAAUUUUUCAGUCAAUCCUGGAAAAGCUCAUGAAAAGCAUAAUACACGAACAAAAUGACAAUCCUUCAUGAUGAGGCCUUUGCUGUUGCUUUAUUUUGGUUGUUUACUACUGCUCAGGUCUAGUAAUGUCUCUUUAUCGGGCUUCGUUGUGCUAGUGUUCCGCAUAUCUAUCUGAUCAUCCCUCUGUCAUCUUUAUCAGGUGAUUCCAGGUUUAUUAUCCCAACAUGCAGCGAGUAGCGAAAAGCCUUCUGAUCUUUUUGCAUAUGUAUCUACCACAGCCUUCAAAGAACAGCAAGGAGGGGGUAAUGCUUUAUGCUGGCAGAUAAGGAAGUGUAACUUAACCAAGUCUACUUUGGUUGGUGGAGUGGCUUUAGCGGAGGUAUGAAAAAUGUAUGCCAUGCUUUCUUUUAUCCAGGAAGAAAAAUUAUAUGUUCAUUGUUGGAAUUUGUGCACUAAGAAUCUAAAGAUGGUUCCUUAUAAGCAAUAGGAUGGUUUUACUUUGAACUGUGCCAAAUUGGAUUGUCCCAAAUAGAAAAUCUGAUGUGAAUAUAUUCUGGAAUGUGUCAAAUCAGAAUAUCCCAAAUUGAAAUCUGUUGUGAAUAUAUUUCCGCAACUCGGUGAAGAUUGUCUCGAAUUCUGGUCAGUCAUAAUGCUGUGUCCAUUUUCCUCAAAGGGAAGUUUGAAUGUGUUUCAUAACACAUAAAGGUUAUGUCAGUUUUAAUUCCUCUCAAUAUAACCUCUUUUUCCAUUUAGUUUUUAAAAAGGAUUUCUCAUGUUUUCCCAACAAACAGUAAAUACUUACUUUUUCAGUCCUUCUGUUGUUUUCUGUGCCAAGUCAAACUACGGCUCUUAAUUUGGGAUAGAGGAAUUAAAGAUUUCUCAUUCGACAGUCUGGUGCAAGUGUUUUGUCUCUUUUUCUCGCAUGCAAGUUUAUUUUAGCUGCAGACGCUCAGCAUGAUUAACUAUGCAAACGAUAGUAAGUUGCUGUAGACAUUGUUUGUUGUCCUCAUUUUGUUCUUUGUUUCUCUGAUUGCUUUUAUUAGUUUUGGGCCAGAAAGAGUUUGGGUAUCUGGAUUGGGUAUAUGUGAUGCGAGGUAAAAUGGCACCUUAGAAUGCAUAACGUGGUAGCAGCUGUUACUGAUAUUGAUAGGUGAUAUCAGCUGUUACCGUAAACUAUAGAAUGUGUAUACAUCAUGGUAUGGUAGUAUAGGUUGUAGCUUAGUGUUAGAUAUAUAGUCUUGUCCCACAUUGGAAUAGGAGUAGAAUAUCCUUGUAUAGUAUGGCUAUAAAUAAGGACCUCUUGUAUAGUAUUGAACACAGAAUAUAUUAAUACAUAUCAUAUUUUCUCCCGUGCCUUCUCACAUGGUAUCAGAGCUAUCGUGAGAGAUUUAUCGCUGUGCAUAAAUUCCAGCAAUUCCGGAAAGUGAAACCAGUCACAAGAACCUUUUUCCGUCGACUUUCUAAGUUGUUUUGCGUCUGUUUUGUCUCUGUCGGUGUUGUGUAAAAAAUCCAACACUGCCAUAAGAGUAGUCACUAUCCGGCGACCAAACCCUAAUGAAAAUAUCCGGCGGUAUUGUAGCUGUCCGAAGAAAAUUUUCCGGCGAAGUUCCGACGUUGCAUGGCCACCUUCCGGCCAUUUUUUGGCGACAACUCUUCAGGAUAUUUUGUUUCCCUUGCAAUUCCGAGCCUACACAUCCAUGUUACACCAAAUUCCGACCACUUUUAUAUUUUUCCUGCAUGAAUAGUGAUUUCAAAAGUGGACUUCCAGCCACUUUUUGAAAAAGUUCCUGCCUAACAGUUGGGUCAUCUGUUAAUUCGGAUCCUACUCCUACUGUUUUUAUUUCAUUCCGACAGCUUUGAAUUUUUUCCGACCGCUAUAGUAAUAUUCCGAGAGCUACAGUAUUUUUGAAGUGAACAAUAUUUUUCAGUGCAGAUCAAUGUUAUAUUUUCGUGCUAUAAACAGUAUUUUCUCAGCGAUUUCUUUAGUUUUUUCAAAAGAGUUACUAAUUUUCACUAUUUCAAGUUAACCUACUACUCUUAAUUGUAGCGACAUGGGAACUGAUGCUUCAAAUAGUCGGAUAGUUUCUUUAGUGGAUUAUUUUGAGUUUCUUCAGUACAAAGCAGGUAAGGAGACAUCUUCUGAGAUAGCUUCCGUUGUUCAGACAGGUAAUAGCAUGACUUGUGUCUCUCAAUCUUCAUCCUCUGAGCUUGGGUCAUUGACUCAAGUGCAUCGGAUCAUAUUUCUGGUAACAAAUUUCUCUUCACUACUAUUUCGUAUUCUCAAUCUCUUCCAAGAGUCACAAUGGCCAAUGGGUCUCAAACCAUGGCAACUGCAAUAGGUCAAUCAUACCCAAUUCCUUCCUUACCUUUAGAUUCAGUUCUUUAUGUCCCUAAUUGUCCUUUUAAUCUCAUAGUUGUUAGUCGCCUAGCCAAAUCACUUAAAUGUGCCGUUCUAUUUCUUGAUGACCAUGUUUUUAUAUAGGAACGUAGUACAGAGCGGAUCAUUGGUACCGGGCGUGGAUCAAAUGGACUUUAUUACCUUAUACUCGCUAAAUCACAUGGACUCACGUCUUGUCUUCCUUCAACAACUUGUCAUGUUACCGAUUCACCAGAUUUAUUACAUAAACGGUUGCUUGUCUUCCUUCAACAACUUGUCAUGUUACCGAUUCACCAGAUUUAUUACAUAAAAGGUUGGGACAUCCUAGUUUAUCAAAACUUCAGAAAACGGUACCUGGUUUAUCUCACUUGUCAUCUCUAGAGUGUGAGUCUUGUCAGCUCGGUAAGCAUACUCGCUCUCAUUUUCCUCGACAUAUUGAUAAUCGAUCAGAGUCGCCUUUUACUUUAGUCCAUUUAGAUGUUUGGGGUCCUAGUCGGGUCAGUUUUACCUUAGGAUUCCGUUACUUUGUUAGUUUCAUUGAUGACUAUUCUAGUUGCACCUCGAUAUUUUUGAUAAAAAAUUGAUUUGAGUUGUUUUCUAUAUUUCAGACCUUUCACGCUAAAAUUCAAAAUCAAUUUGGGGUUUCUAUUCGCACAUUUCGUAGUGAUAAUGCUUGCGAGUAUUUGUCUUUCCCAUUUCAGCAGUUUAUGAAAUCUCAUGGGAUUAUUCAUCAAACAUCUUGUUAGUACACAUCUCAACAAAAUGGGGUAGCUGAAAGAAAGAAUAGACAUUUUAUUGAAACUGCUCGUACCCUACUCAUACAAUCAUGCUCCGUUGCGUUUUUGGGGGAUGCAGUUCUUACAUCUUGCUAUCUUAUUAAUCAUAUUCCAUCUUUAGCUAUCCAGAACCAAGUUCCAUUCUCUGUUAUGUUUCCUCGCUUACCUUUUUUCUCUUCCACCUCGUGUCUUUGAAAGCACUUGUUUUGUCCAUAACCUUACUCCAGGAACAGAUAAGUUAGCUCCCCAUGCUCUUAAGUGCGUAUUUCUUGGUUUCUCGAGAACACAAUAGGGGUAUCGAUGUUAUUCUCCUGACCUCCAACUGUACCUUAUGUCUGCUGAUGUUAUUUUCUUUGAAACCCAAUCAUACUUCACAGGUCAGGUAAUCACUUAGAUAUUUUUGAGGUACUACCGGUCCCUUCUUUUGGAGAUUCAGUCCCAUCCAUCUUCCUCUACAUCUCCGGCUCCACCACCUAUAGCUCUCGUUCCACCAUCUAUAGCUCCAGGUCCAAUUACUCCACAUAAUCCAGUUCAACCUUUUGCAGCUCCGUCACUCUUGACUUAUCAUCGCAUCCACAUCCAGCAUCACACCCAGGUGAUUCACGUCCUGCAUCAGAUUCUGCACCUACUGCGGACGUGUCUCCUCUUAGUCAACCAAUUGCACUCCGCAAAACGGUCCACACUUAAUCCUAAUCCCCACUAUGUUGGUCUAAGUAAUCAUCGCCUGUCGUCCGCGAUUCACGUCUUGCAUCAGAUUCUGCACCUAUUGCUGACUUGUCUCCUCUUAGUCAACCAAUUGCACUCCGCAAAGGUGUAUGGUCCACACUUAAUCCUAAUCCCCACUAUGUUGGUCUAAGUUAUCAUCGUCUGUCGUCACCUCAUAUUGCUUUUAUAUCUUCUUUGUCCACUGUUUCUAUUCCUAAGUCUACAGGUGAGGCACUAUUUCAUCCUGGAUGGCGACAUGCUAUGAUUGACGAGAUGUCUGCUUUACAUGCAAGUGAAACUUGGGAGCUUGUUCCUCUUUCUGCAGGUAAGUCUAGUGUUGGUUGUCGUUGGGUUUAUGCAGUCAAAGUCGGCCCGGAUGGCCAGGUUGAUCGGCUUAAGGCUCGUCUUGUUGCAAAAUGAUAUACUCAGAUUUUUGGGCUUGAUUAUAGUGGUACUUUCUCUCCCGUGGCUAAAGUAGCAUCUGUUCGUCUUUUUUUGUCCAUAGCUGCUGUACGUCAUUGGCCUCUUUAUCAGUUAGACAUUAAGAAUGCUUUUCUCCACGGUGAUCUUGACGAGAAAGUUUAUAUGGAGCAACCACCUGAUUUUGUUGCUCAGGGGGAGUCUAGUGGUUGUGUAUGCAGAUUGCGCAGGUCACUGUAUGGUUUGGAAGUCCCCUCGAGCAUGGUUUGGUAAGUUCAGCACAAUUAUUCAGGAGUUCUGCAUGACUCGGGAAGUUUAUAUGGAGCAACCAUCUGGUUUUGUUGCUCAGGGGGUGUAUGCAGAUUGCGCAUGUCACUAUAUGGUUUGAAACAGUCCCCUCGAGCAUGGUUUGAUAAGUUCAGCACAAUUAUUCAGCUGUUCGGCAUGACUUAUAGAGGCUGAUCACUCUGUGUUUUAUCAACAUUCUGCUCCGAAUCUGUGUAUUUAUCUGGUGGUUUAUGUUGAUGAUAUUGUUAUUACUGGCAACGAUCAGGAUAGUAUUACUAAUUUGAAGCAACAUCUCUUUCAGCACUUCCAAACUAAGGAUAUUGUUAUUACUGGCAACGAUCAGGAUGGUAUUACUAAUCUGAAGCAACAUGUCUUUCAACACUUCCAAACUAAGGAUUUGGGCAGACUGAAUUUUUUUAAAGGUAUUGAGGUUGCUCAGUCUAGCUUAGGUAUUGUUAUUUCACAGCGGAAGUAUGCCUUAGACAUUCUUGAGGAGACUGGAAUGAUGAUUUGCAGACCUAUUGACUCUCCUAUGGAUCCGAAUGCCAAGCUUCUGCCUGGACAGGGGAGCCUCUUAGAGACCCUACGAGAUAUAGGAGGUUGGUUGGAAAAUUGAAUUACCUCACAGUGACUAGAUCUGACAUUUCUUUUCUGGUGAGUGUUGUAAGUCGGUUUAUGGAUUCUCCCUGUGACUAUCACACUGGGAUACAGUUGUUCGUAUUCCUCGAUAUAUAAAGUCAGCUCCAGGCAAAGGAUUACUAUUCGAGGAUCGAGGCCAUGAGCAGAUUGUUGGGUACACAGAUGCUGAUUGGGCUGGAUCACCUUCUGAUAGACGAUCUACAUCUGGAUAUUGUAUUCUAGUAGGAGGUAAUUUGGUCUCGUGGAAGAGCAAGAAAAAAAAUAUAAUUGCUCGAUCUAGCGCCGAAACGGAAUAUCAGGCCAUGGCUAUGGCAACGUGUGAGGUAUUUUGGGUCAAGCAGUUGCUCAAGGAGUUAAAGUUCGGGGAAAUCAGCAGGAUGGAACUAGUGUGUGAUAACCAAACCCCCCUUCAUAUUGCGUCAAAUCCGGUGUUCCAUAAGAGGACUAAACACAUUGAGAUCGUCUGUCACUUUGUCAGCCGCUCUUCAUAUUGCGUCAAAUCCGGUGUUUCAUGAGAGGACUAAACACAUUGAGAUCGACUGUCACUUUAUCAGAGAAAAAAUACUUUUAGGAGAUUGUUACAAAGUUUGUAAAGUCGAAUGAUCAACUAGCAGAUAUUUUCACUAAGUCUCUUACUUGUUCUCAUAGUAGUUACAUAAGUAACAAGCUCGGUACAUAUGAUGUAUAUGCACCGGCUUGAGGGGGAGUGUUAGAUAUGUAGUCUUGUCCCAUAUUGGAAUAUGAGUAGAAUAUCUUUGUAUAGUAUAGCUAUAAAUAAGGACCUCUUGUAUUGUAUUGAACACACAAUAUAUUAAUACAUAUCAUAUUUUCUUCCGUGCCUUCUCACACUUAGAUUUGGUAUCCAGAGGUAUUCUUGCAAUAAUUCUGUUUUUAAUGUACUCACGAUUCUUAUCCACUUCUAUCAUGUUGUCCCGUCAUCAUUUGCUGUCUGCUAAAUGAUGUCCAAAAGUUUAGCAAUCGGAAUCUUGUGUACUGGCAGUACGAGUUCAUGGUCUCUAAAGCAUAAAAUUUACACCAGCAUACCUCCCAAGGGAAAAAGAAAAAAAGGACUUAGUAUUGGGUAGCUUCUUGUAGUUGCCAUACUCAAAUCUAGUUCAUUAAAAGUAUCGGACUCAGAUAUCUCAGAACCUUGUAUAUCAUUGUAGUUUUAAAACUAUCAGGUUUGUUAAUAAAGAAAUUAAAUGCUAAUUUCCAUUGCUACUUGUUAUCCAUCUCAUAGAUUUAUGUUAUUAAGCAUAAGUUAAUUUGGCAGAGAUAUGACCAUGUCUGACAUUGACAAUUCAUAGAUUUUCAAGAUUGAUGUUAAUGAUGUCUGAAGAACUGAAUUAUGACAAUCACCUGUAGAUUCUCUUUCAUUUCCCAAAAUUUCCUGUUGUAUUUCAAUGUAAUUCUUAGUCCAUUUUAUCAUCUUCCCUUGUCAUCUGCCCAGGUGUUGUAUGUGAAAAUGCCCUAGGUUGUUCUGUCUAAAAGAUUGCAGUGAGAGGCAUGGUGCUAUUUCGGAAAGCGUGCAUUAAGUUUAGCUAACUCAUAGGAAUCUGGGAGAACAAAUCUUUUUUAGUUAAAGCAUUAUGAAGUUACCUGUUUCUAUAUUUAUGUAUCAGAUACCAUCACGAGUAAAAUGUUAUCUAGCUUAUAAAAAACAUAUCACACAAGCUAAUGCUAACAAUUUUUGCAAGUGUCAUGUGGCACAAAAUAAGUGGUUUCAUGUCGAGCUCUUUCUAGCUAGUGUAGGUCUUGAUUUAUCUUUUGCUUCUAGAGAGUCCGUACCAUCAGUCACUGACUGUAAGCUUUCUUGCUUUACACUAGAUUAUCUUCUUCCUUGAAAGAUUGACGAUCUUUCACAUCAUUGUUUUUUCCACAGUCAAAUACUUACCCUUAUCGUAUUUUACAAAGUAAACCUACAAUGGCAUUUUUGCAUGUGAUUGAGAAUGAUCAAAGUUUAUAAUUUCUCUCAGAGUCAAGACGCACAAUCUAUAACACUUAGCUCCUCUGGAAGAUACAUGGGCAUAUGUGACAAGCGCAAGCUUCGCAUAUGGGAAAUACCAGCAAAAGAUUCUGAUCAAGCAGUGGUUCAGAAAAUCAGGUUACAUCAUACGAAAACCAUGAGCACUCUAGCUUUUCAUCCAACAGAGAGGAUUGUUGCAGCUGGAGAUGUAACAGGAAGGAUCUUAAUAUGGAGGGGUGUUGGGGAGCAGAAUUUACCAUCUGGUAAUAAACAGAGAAAUGGAGGACUAAUGAAGGAUGUGGAGGAAAGGCCUGGAGUUAGGGGAAACGAUGAUGCUGAUUCUUGUACCACAAGGCAUUGGCAUUCUGCAGAAGUGAAAGUCCUCUUUUUUUCUUCUGAUGGUGCCUAUGUGUACUCAGGUAUAAAGUAAAUAUGAGCAGCGUUGUUGGUUGUGUAAAGACGAGUUUAAAACCUUGUACUGAUGUGGAUUUUCACACGCAUAACUUAUUGCAUUGAAACAUCAUAGAAAGUGGGAACUUUUUAGGCACAUCUCUUUUAUUUACUUGGAAUUUAGACUACAACAUGAAUUAUAUCAAUUUGAUGUUUACUUAAAUUUAACGACUUUUUAACUUGAUCCAGGUGGGAAGGAAGGAGUUCUUGUGGUUUGGCAGUUAGACACCGGGAAGCAGAAAUUUCUCCCACGAAUAGGAUCCCCCCUUUUGUAUUUUACCAUGUCAUCUGAUCAUUCUCUGUCCUCUGUAAGCAUAUUUGUCUAUAGAGUAAAGGUAGUUGCUACUGGAUUUUGUUCUUACUUAGUAAGUUUGUCCAGAUAUCUUGUGCAGAUAACCGAAUCCACCUUCUCAAAAUGCCUUCGAUGGAGGUAUUGAGAUCCAUUCAAGGAAUCAAGGUUUGUUCUUCUCUCUCUGAGGCAAAACACUGUUCGAAAAGAUUAAGAGUGGAGAAAACACUUCAUGCCUGUCAUCAUUUCGCUAGGACAUUGUUCUGUUAUUGUAAUACUUAUCAAGGGAAAAAGAUCCAGGUUCAUUCAUGCUGUUUAUAUAUAAGAUGAGCAUCAGAUAGUAAGAAAAUUGGAUAAGAAAGCUUCGGCGUGUUGUUUCCAAGCACUAGAACAAACAGCCAUACCUGUUACUUUCAGCUCACAUAUUCCUUUUAGAUUCGUACGUAUUUUCUUUAUAUGGUCUUUCUGUAGAUUGGUUAUCAUAACUAUGAACCAUAUUUAUAUGAGCAAUGCUGUUGUUGUGGUGGUUGGAGGAUCCUCUUUGCGCAUGUACUAUAAUGUCUUUGCUUGGAGUGUUUGGUUAAUCCAUUCAAAACACUCAUCUCCAUCUUACCUGAUAUUUUGAUAUAGUAUAUUAAAAUUUGCCCUUUGGGAGUCCUUACAGCUUUAAUUUGCAGCUUCGUAGCACACUCCUGGACACGUUUGAUGGCUCAUCUGAAGGAAUUGUUGUUAACUCUGCUACCGGGAUAGCUGCCAUACGUUCAGAAAAUUACUGUGUCCAGUUUUAUAGCUUGUUUGAUGACCGUGAGGUUUCUGAGGUAAGUGCAUUGAAAAUAAGCGGCAUGUGUUGAUGUAUUCUUUUCCAUUUAGCACUAAACUUCCCCAAUUAACACCCACCAUCACAAGAAAGAAGAAAAAAUUGGAUAAGGAAAAAGAACUUGGAACCUAAUUUUGUUUUACCCUCUUUUCAGUUGCACACCUUUCUGUGGUUCUAUCUUUUUGUUUCGGUCAGUUUACAUGGUUGCGUCCCUGGAGUAUUAGCCUUUCACUUUGAUUCAUAGAGAGGGGUUCACCUUUUCUUGCCCUUAAUUUUUUGUAGGUUUUCUGGACAUCUGUUGUUCCCACCUUUAUGAUUAGGAGCUAUGCAUUCUUAUUUUACAGGCAAGCUUUAGAUAUACUCAAGUGUUAGUGAGGGAGGAGGGGGAGGGGAAUUAUGGAAGAGCAAACAUUUAAACACGUAGAUGUACUUUUGGCAAGCAGUUCUCAUCUUUCAGUAAUGCUUGAAGUAUGCACUCUUUUUACUAGAGUUGGCUGUUGAUUUUGCUUAAUCUGUCCAUUUGUAGGUUCAAGUUUGUGAAAGAAGCCACCAACCAGCUGAUGAAGUCACGGUAUAGAAUUUUUUUCCUGGCUGAUCUUCAUAUUUAGUUGUGAAAUCCUGAACAGCUAUAUCCUGGUAUUUGGAUCAGUAUUUUAAUUUUCGAUAUGCUUUUUUUGUGUGUGUGUGUGUGAGAGAGAGAAUGAAUGAAUAAAAGUUCGUCUUCUGUAUGUUCGACUAGUCCACUUCAACUACAUAAAUUCGUACACCUAGAAUUAAAUAACUUAAGAAAUUGAUUCAGCUUGUCUAUUGCCUCGUAUCAUGUGCUUUUGCACCAAGUUUCAUGCCAAAAAUUGGAAAUGGAACCUAAUAUGACACUAAUGAAUGUAGGUGCACGUGUGGUCCUUCGAGAUGUUUGAAAACUGAUAUGUGAUAAGAAAUAACAGUGUCUUUCAGUCUGUGUAAGAGCCCAUGCAUCACCUUAGUUUCCCAGAUUUCGAGCGCAAGUUUGGGGCAGAAAGUAUUUUUUUAAUCCAGGAAGUGUAUUUCAUUAUAUAGUACCAAGAAGGUACUGCAACAUGUCAAGAAUGCUAGUUACAGUCUCACAACUACCUCUCUAAAUUCAUAUACUACAAAAUUUCAACAAAAUCCAUAUAAUCUAGGCUACCCUUGAGCCAAAAAUAAAGAUUCUGUAAGCAUCUGUUCUUUACAAAAAAAUAUGCUGUUUUUUCCCUUCAAAACAUCUUUUAUUUCUCUCUAACCAGGUAGUCCACAAAAAUGCAUAAUGGACAAUUCUUUUCCAGAUCUUCUUCUUCUUCUUCUUUCUUCCCACUUUCUGUCCCUUCCAGCAUCGUCGUAAAUACUUCACACUAUGGGGCAGAAACUAAACUCAAUAAGGCUAGAAGUUCAAGAGCUCAGACCAGAAUGUGGAUUUUCCCUUUUGUGUAUCGGCUAUCAAAAACUUUUUUCUCCAACAAAUAUUCCUAGGAAAAGUGAAGAAUGAAAAAAACUUGGCCAAAAUUGGCAUUAAUUUGGCUGUUGUACUUUGCCUUGUGCUUCGCAUCACUAAACAUCUUAACUAUUACGCCCUAUCUUGAGUUCCAUAGUCUUCAUACUAUACAUGACAACAUAGACUCCUGGGACAAAUUGCCUAGAUGGUUAAAAGCCCUUAUAUGUAGAACAGUAGUUUUUUUUAAAAAUUAGUAUCAUAAUAUGAACAAGCUGUUUAAAAGUUUUGAGCGUUGAAAAGAUUUUUUCCCAUUUGUUGCAGGUGGUAGUGAAUUUGGUGGCCCUCUCUCCAGAGGGUUCUAUCAUGAUUACUGUAGAAACCAGGCUUGCUGAAGAAGGAAUAGGAGGUCUUGUAUGUCUGAAGUUCUGGUCAUGCAGCUCUUCGAAUAAAGACUUCAGCUUAUCCACUGUUGUCUAUGAGCCCCACAGGUUCUCUCUUGUCUAAUUCUUGGAGCUUCUUGUGCUCUAAUAAACUGGGCAGUACUUUUCUCCUGUAAAAUCUACCUAUAGUCCAGGUUCCUUUGAAUUGACUUUCAAGCUCUGCUGUGUUUGCAGAGAUUCUGGUAUUUCAUCCAUCACUUUCCAUCCUUCGCGUAACAUAGCUGUUAGUACUUCAUGGGGUGCUGAUUUCAAGGUAAGCAGAUGGGUUCAAGUGACUUGCUAAAUUACCCAUUCUUAAAUAACAGUUUGUCAUUUGGUAGGUUUGGGUAGGCAGUCAGGAGAUGCAACAAAAGGAGCGGAUGCAAAAUGCUGGAUGGACAUGCCAUUCUGUUGGUUCUUACAAGUAUGUUUGCCUUAAUUUUUCGUUAUAGAGAAUAAGGGUGGGCAUCGGUUGGUUCGGUUUGGUUAUGAAUAUUAUAGGUUUACAUAUCGGUUAUCGGUUUACAAAUAUGAUAAAGCGAUAACCAAAUCGAUAAGAUAUUGAUCGGUUAAUCGGUUAUCGAUCAUUAUCGGUUCGGUUAUCGGUUUAUCCGAUAAGAUAAUAAAGCUAAAACAGUUUUAUUAACAGCUUUCUAUCGGUAUAAAACUGUUUUGCAAUAUUUCACCGAGCUAAAACAAUUUUAUAAAACAGUUUUUUUGCAAGCUAAAACAGUUUUAUAAAACAACUUAUUUGUAAUUGAGAAAGGUAUAAAGACAAGUUGUUUAGCAACUAAUAGUUCUACACCAGAAUACUACAACAACAACAACCCAGUAUAAUCCCACUUAGUGGGGUCUGGGGAGGGUAGUAUGUACNNNNNNNNNNNNNNNNNNNNNNNNNNNNNNNNNNNNNNNNNNNNNNNNNNNNNNNNNNNNNNNNNNNNNNNNNNNNNNNNNNNNNNNNNNNNNNNNNNNNNNNNNNNNNNNUAGAGAGGCUGUUUCCAAAUAGACCCCCGGCAUCCUUCCCUCCAAGAACUUCCCACCUUGCUCUUGGGGAUACUCGAACUCACAACCUCUAGGUUGGAAGUGGAGGUUGCUUACCAUCAGAGCAACCCCUCUUGUCUGAGUCUGCAACAUAAAACAAUAGAAACAUUUAACUAGUAGUUCAAGCAGUGAGUUCAAUUCUUAAAGCUGAUUCUACUUUCUCUCUGAUUUCAUUCUUAAAUCUGAUUUAUCUUUAAAUGAGGUACUUUAUGCUAAUAAUUUGACACCAACAAAUAGUACAAAAACUACGAAGAAAAAAAAGUAACAGAACAGCACAGUUAAGAGUAUAGGAAAAAGCUGGAGAUAAAAACUAUGCAGAACUACAAUCAGACCUCAAGUCAUUUUAGCAAAACAUAUAAUUGCAUAAAACAGAUAAAUAAAUGAUUCCCACAAAAAUCUAAUAGUGAAUGAAUCAACACAAUUGUGAAGUGAACCAACAGGCAAAAAUAAAAAGAGCAUAACCCAAUAGUGAAGUGAAUCAAUGCAAUAGUGAAGUGAAUCAAUGGGCAAAAAUAAACAAUUCCCUCAAAAAUCAACUGAAGACGAAGAUGAAGGCAAGUAGGCAACCGAAGAUGAAGAUGAAGCUGAAGAAUGUGGCUGAAGAAUGAAGUGAAGAGGGUGAAGUCUGAACUCUGAAGAAUGCGGCUGAGGCUGAGAAGGGAUAGGGAAAGAAUGAAGCCCUAGUAUGUAUAUAAUUAAGGGUAAAGUAGUAAAUUCGUUUAUCCUUAAUGGGUUAUCGGUUAACCCAAUAACAUAAUUGCAAAACCGAGCCCGAACCGAUAAACCAAUAAUGAAAAAAUAUUAAUCCGUUACCUAACCGUUAACCCAAUAAUCCAAUAUCGAUAACCCAAUAAAUAAUUAACGGUUCGGAUUAUCGGUUUUAUCCGAUAUAUGCCCACCCCUAAUAGAGAAGUUGAAUUGUUGGUUUUAUUCUAUUAUGUUUACUGUAGAAUGUCUAAGAAAAAUGACUACAACGAGAUAAAAAAUGACCAUGUAGAAAAAUCCGAAACUGUUUAAGAAAAGAGAUUCAAGAUGAAAAUAUCUCUUUCUUUGUGGUUCAUUCAGUAUCAUCUCAUUUGUACAUGAGAGAUGGUUACUUAGCACCCCAGCGAUCAACUUUAUGGGAACCUUCGCAGUGCGUGUCAAACUGAAUAAUUUUUGUGUGAAUUCGGAAAUAGAGUUUUCAAUUUUCUGAAAUAAUUUACAUAUUUAGAAAUCACAUAUGAUUUAUGGCUGCUUGUUUGUACUCUGCCAAUGUUAAUGACUACAACGUAAUGAAUCGAUAAAACCUCUAUUUUCUUGUUUGACAUGAUUUUCUCCCCUUAGAAAAAAGCCAAUGACUGCUGCUGCCUUUUCUGGAGAUGGUUCUGUGCUGGCUGUAGCUGCAGAACGAGUUAUUACAUUGUGGGAUCCAGAGAAGAAUAUUCUUGUGGCGACAGUUGGGGAGAGUAUUGAGGUAAGUUGUUGACAUGCCAGUAUCAAUUUUACUCUUUUGACCUAUCAGAAAAUAUCAAUGUGACACUUCUGAGUUCAAGAUUUAAAUUAUUUGCUUUGGUGAAAGAAAGCUUUUUACCUAGUAUUUGAAUCCUUUUUACCUCAAGUUGUUCUUUAUGACUCAAUUCUGAGUUACUGCCCAGAAAGUUCCAUGGCAGAUUUGAUGCUCUUCUUGUGGUACUUUGUACGCCUCUAUUAUUCGUUCCAUAAUAUUUAUAUGUACAAUAUUUUCUCAUUUAAACUAUUUUCUUUGUGCAGCCAAUCUCUUCCUUAGCAUUUAUUGGGAAGUCAGAGUAUAUUGUAACCACAUCACAAGGUUCUAAAGCACAAGUAUCAGUUUGGAGCAUGUCAAAGCUGUCAGUAGUAUGGUCUUACAAGCUUAAAAUAGAAGGUUUGUAUAUCUCUUGUUUCUCAUGCUUUGGCAGUUUAUGAUAAUUCGUAAUCCCCUUUUUAGAAGGUAAUGUUUCUAGUAUAUCCAUAACGUCAUCAGCAGAGUGUAUGCUGGAAACCAAAAUAGGAGUGUUACAUCAAAAGAAACAAAAAUACAGUCCUUGUUCUUCUUACAAGGAGCUUAAAACAUCUAGAAUUGAAACAUCAUAAUACACCAAACACAAAAAAGCAUAAUACACUUCAUCUUCAUUUUCUGGAGAGGGUUUCCUAUAUCGUCAAAACAUUUCGAGUUCCUUUCCUUCCAAACUGUCCUCAAAUAGUCGAUGGCUAAUGUCUCAGCAACCCAGAUAGAAUUGGUAUACCCCUCUUCCUUAGGUCUCCUGAGCAAGGAUAGCUUCCCUAACCACCAACUAAGAAAAGUAUGCCAUUUGUAAGGGACACUUACUUUGUAGUUUUGCUCCCAAGGCCAUAAACUAAGUUGAGGACCCUCCUGGUUCAAAUCUUUAUAUGCUGAGCUGACUGAGUUAAUACCACUACUAUGUUUCUACCAUCUGAGCGUAUCUUCACCUUCCUGUAGUCCUUUGCCUUGUUCUAAAUGUUAUAAAACUCAAUUAUUCUGGGCACCUCCCAGUCUUGUAGGGGUCCCAUGAAAGUCAGGUUCCAACCUUGUGUAGACCAAAGUUCAUUCAAAUUUCAAAGUAACCCCCUGUUAUUGGUUCAAAUUAUAGAUGUCAGGAUAUAGUUGUUUUAAGCUUCCGGCACCCUACAAGUUGUCCGCUCAUAAUUGUGUUUUCCUUUCAUCUUCCACAUUAAGACUCAAUUUAUCCUUCAGGCUUGGCCACAUUCCUUUUGGAUCUCCUGAGACGGACUCCAUAAGUAGUGUUAACCCCUCUAGUCAUCCAAAAAUUUACCUUGCCAUAUUUUACCCUAGUCACACUGCCCAUAGUGCUUGCUCCUCCUUUGGAAACCUCCACAGCCACUUCAUCAAGAGGCAUUUUUUUUAAAUUAGUAAGAGGCUUUUGUUAUGCUUUCUUAGAUUCCCGACUUCCGACCCCCUUUUUGCUGCUAAUAGUAAGGGUCUUCCAUUUAACUAAAUGGAUCGCUUUCUUCUCUUUCUUUCCUUGCCUUCUAGCCUCUUUUCUACACUUGCUGGUAAGGGAAAUAAAGACAUCAUGUAGGUAGGAAAAACUGAGUUAAUAAUAUCAAUCUACCUCCCAGAGAUACAUAAUUUGCAUUCCAUCUUGCAAGUUUAUUUUACCACCUCUUUAAAACGUCAUUCCAAAUAUCUUGAGGCUUAUCAUUUACUUCUAAGGUUCUGCUUCUAGUUCAUGAGAAAAAUAGACUUAAUUAAGGAUGGAGACAAUGGCUUCAGACAGUGUUAUAAAAAGCUACCGCUUCGUCAGUUAAAGCGCUGAAACAAUGCGAAGUGGAUUAUUGGUUCAAAAGUGGAGCCAUGCGCUUCCUAGAAGUGUGCACUUAAAUAAUUACACACAAAAUGAUCCUAUGGAGAAGAGGUCAGUCCUUCGAAUCUCAACUGGAGCAAUUGGAUUAAUAUUGGCACUAUUGUAUAUGAAUACUGAAAUUAGUUAUGUUAGGUGAUCAUUAUAGUACUAAAUUCAUGUAUGUUUAUAUUUUUAAACGUUGAACGUUGUGAAGUAUGCGCUUCAGAUAUUUGUUUUUGGAAACACUCACAUCAAAAUGUAAUCGUCAAUCAUAUUUCCACGUUUUUGAAGUUUGUUAACUUUUACUUCCAAUUAUACUAGGUUGGCUCUUGAAUUUGAAUCUUAUGCACAUGGAAUCUAAUAAUCUUCCUAAAAGUUAUCUGAAGCCAAGGGCUGCUGGACGUACUGAUUAGUUAGUUCUGUAGUCUAACACAUAUUAGAUUAUGCAUUGUGAUAUUCUUUAUAUAUCGUGGAGGGGUCAAAGUCCCAAACUUUGAUGACUAAUAUCUAGGUCAGGGGGUUAUAUUCAUCCAGGGAAGAUUUUGUUUGCUGUAGGCUCUCCUCAUAUCUCACUGCAGUUCUAUGAUAAGUAUUAAGAGUUGCAUGGUUUGGACUACAUCUAGUGUGCUAUUUCUUUUUUAAUGCCAAACUCAGACUGGACUUUUGGGGAAAUUUUAAGCUAUUUCGUGCUAAUGAAAUCAGUACCAAAAAUUUAAUUUGCUGCUUUGGAAUAAGAAAUCGGCAAGUGACCAAAAGAGACUCAGAAUCUAAGCUAAUGUUUCCAAAUUUUGCGCCUAGUACUCAAAACUAAAAGGUCCGAAGAAGUCUAGCAAUUAAUGAUAAACUUGUUGGCAGGGAGUUCUGUUUGCACAAUCCUUUAUAUUGUUAUGUAAUGUAUCAGACAUUACCUUAAUUCAUUUGUCAAUGUCUCAUCCAACUAGUACUUACUGAUUGCUGCAGCUGUAACUUGUGCGAUCGAUGAUUCUUCAUUUGCCAUCCUGGCCCUUGGUCCAAAGUCAUUUGGAUCUACAGAUGGGGUGAUCUUAUUAUUCAAUGUUGGAGAUCUUGUUCCCGCAGCGAGCUGGCUUGUAAAAAAGGUAAUGAUUCCUCUCCUCAAUUUUGAGUUUGUUUUUCUGUUUUUCGAAGUUUUGAGUUGGGAACUUGAUGUUAGUGGUGGUGAAUCUUGAUCUUGUGAAGGCUGUUGAGAAAAUAAUUACCUUCUCCUGUCUUUGUUUUUCUCUAUCUUCAUUCUCUCGUGUUUCCUGCGCCUAGUGUACGGAUGUUUUCUGUUGCGAUCUGUAGAAUUUUUACGUCUCUUCUAUUUGCUGUCACCUUCACUCUUCAGAAGACGCCAUUUGCAGUUGUGUUGUGUGUAUUUUUCUGACACUGUUUCUUGCCUUUCUAAUUUAGUUCAGACAUUGGCGACAUAAUGCAUCUUCUAGUCUUUCUUCUAAGGCGGAAAUGCCAUCGAAAUGACAUCUAUAAAUGGGGUCAGAACUGGAUGUCUUUACUUUGUUUGCGUCUCAUUCUUUCUUUUUAUAGGCAAAAGGUGCUUCACUUGCUUUUAUUCGCGGAAGUCCUAAUUCGAAGGGUGGUGUUACUGAUGGCAAAUCAGCGCAGUUGCUGUUAGCUUACCUAAACAGUGAUCAUGAAUAUGCUCUUUUUGAUCCACUCAACAGUCACACCCACAUACAUAAGAUUAGCCGAGGAAGUUUCACUGAUCUUGAGGAAACAGGUGUGUACCAUUUUGUCUGCCUAAGUUCAUGUCUAAUAUGUCAAAAGCUUUUAUGCAUCUCAGUUUCUGGCCUUUAUUACUUUGGUGAUAUACAUGUGCCUUUUGAGGUUUUAUUUUAUGUGUGGCAAGUUGCUUCAGACUAGCUUGGGUUGAACCAGUACCAAAGUAAAUGAAAUAAAACCUUGUUCUUAGAAACUUUAAUGGGCACUACAAGCCUUAAAAUGAUAGUGCCCUGAGGCAAUGAUGUAUGAUUACUGCAUGAUGUCUUGUGAUUAGUGCUGACAAAAUGAGCCCAUAUUUUGUCAACUCGCCCAAUCUGCACAUAUUUUAAAAAAACUGAAUUUUUUUUUUCUUCAUUUUAUUUUUAAAAAAAAUAAAAAUACUUUCUUCUUGAAAAAAUUGAAAAAACGAAAUAAAAAGAAAUGCUAUAAAACUGAAUAAAAUAAAAUAAAAAAUUUUAAAAACGAAAUUUUUUUUGUUGAAAAUAUUUUUUCCAGUUUUUUAAAAAAUAAAAAUAUUUUAUUAACACACUUUUUUCUAUUUUUAUAAUUCUUUUCUAGUUUUUAAUAAAAAUGCUUUAAAAAUUUUUAAUCAGGUCCAAUAACAUGCUGCCACGUGUCUAUUAUAAACUUGUAAGUUACAUUUAACGGUUGAAGGAUAAAUUUGACCCAAAAGUAUAAUAACAGGGAUAUUUUUAAUAAGAAACUCAAAUGUUUCAUAAACCGAUAAAAUAAUCUAAACCAAGCUCUAGCACAAGGUAUAAAUGUUUCAUAUUCAGAAUAUUUUGGAGGUACUGAUAGCCCGGUCUAUAUUACUCUGCUUAAAAUAGACUGUAAUAAAUUUAAACAUAAGAAUAUUUGUCUAAACUAUCAAUUAUAAUUAAAUAUUUUUAUUAAUUAACGCUCCGCUAAUUGAAUCAUAUAAGGGUAGAUUCUGAAAAAUAGACAUGCUGCCGCGUGUCUAUUAUAAACUUGUAAAUUAUAUUUAACGGUUGAAGGGUAAAUUUGACCCAAAAGUGUAACAGCAGGCAUAUUUUUGAUAAGAAACUCAAACGGAGGAUAAAUAAGGCCUAUUUUUUAUAGUACAAGAGAAAAUUUGACCAUUAACCGUAAAUUUAAUAAUGAAGAGUAUAUAUUGUUCCAGUUAAGCUUAUGUCUAAAUAAUCUGAAAAUUUAAAAAUUGCACUUGAAAAUUACACUCAAGAAAAUAUGGAUUAACACCUCACAAAAAAUUCCCUCUCAAGAAAAUAUGGGUUAACUCAUAUUCAACCCGCCCAUUCGAGACCCAAUCUGUUUUUGACUCGCAUGAAAUAUGACUGUCAUGACUGAUGAAACAAUACGCUCAUCCUAUCUGCAGGAAAGUUUGGUUAUGCAUCUAUCUACGGGGACCUACCAGAAUUUAGCUUAGAGAAAAAACAAGCUCCAUUAAUCACAUCAGUUCCAUCAGAAAGGCAUUGGGAGACUCUAUUUAGUGGACCAUCUCACAAUCUUCCUCCUCUUACUAAAUUGUGUUCGCUAUUUCUUGAAUCAUUAUUGGAGAAGAGGAGUAGCGCAGUUAAGUGAUCGCCUGUAGUCCAGUUGAGCUUUGUUGAAAGGCAGAAUCGCUGGUGUAACCAAGGCCAUUGUCAUCAUUGGGAUUUAACCCAUUGUAGCUGAGAGAGCUGCCAUUCCUGCACAUAUCUUACUCUAGCUGGCAGCUCCAGGGUGUGAAUGGUGGAGUCCACUUAUUCUCAGGUCCAAGAAGCGAAUCAGCCGUUCCACAGAGCUGUCUGAGUUAAAGAAAAAAUGCCCGCAUUGAGUGGGUUUGAAAAUUUUGGUAGCAUGAGUCUAGUCUGGAUACUUAAUUUUUUUUACUAUGUAACUUAAUGAGCCUGCAAAGAUAGUAGGAAUGCCAAUACUGAAUAGAUGUGCGAAUUAUCUCUUGAGCAAAUGCUUCUUCGGUGUCAUGUUGUGCCUAGUAGAAUAGGAUUCUUUGUAACAUUGAUGGAGCGCACUAGACUCGCUGUUGCAACUGUUGAGCUUUUGGUGAACAUUUCAACCGCCUGACUUAUGAUGGCUUAUAAGUCGAUUCUCAGGCGAGGAGAUAGAAUGAGAUGAUCUGUCUUGUUUUUUGUUUCCAUUGAUGGUAGAUUCCAUGUGGAGUUGCACUUCUGGUACAUUUGGCAUGGAAUUAUCUGUCGUAUUUUAUGAAAGAUUAUUAUUUUCUUUUUAUCGUGUUUCGGUUUUGAUUGGUGUUCAAAAAUAGGGUGCAUGAAUCGUGAUAUUAACAUGAUGAAAGUUAUAGGGUAGAAAAAUAUUAGUAUUAUCGUUAUUGAUAAGUAUAAAAAAUAGGGUUCUAGUGAUGGUGUAUAUAAUACAGGAACGCUCAUUUUGAGCCGUAAAAUUUGAAAGCAUCCAAGUGUUUUUUUGUUGCUAAUAUCUAAGCGUUUGUUGAAAGAAGUAUUUUAUCUGUAAGAGCAGGAAUAAUUGUAAAGGAAACUCUUGCUGGGAUUAAGUUUUUCCUUUUGUAAGAAAAAAAAUUGAAAAAUAUUUCCUGCUACAUGGAAAUGGCGAUGACGCUAUUAUCGAAGUCAUUUUUUCCCAUGUAUUAAGGAGAUCAUUGUGUCAUGCCCAGUGUUGAUUCCUUGGUCUUUGUGGGAUAAAUUGAAAAGAACAAUAUUCAACUAACAUGUCAAAUUGUUACCUAGUAACUUGUGUGAGUAAGUGAUUCUGCGAUGGCAUCAAGUAUACAAUUAGUGCACCUCUCACCACUUCAAAAAUUGAACCCGUUAAAAUUUUUUAACAAAACAUAAUUAAAGAUAGUUAUAUAUAUUCCAUAGGUAUACAUGAGGUUCUUCAACAAAUUAAAUGCAUCCAUCGUGUUUAAUUAAGUUAAAAUUGUUAGAUCGGCAACUCCUAACAAGAGAGAGAAACAGCUAAAUAAAGGUUUAAUAAUACUAUUAUUCGUAGAGUAGAAAAGGAAACGUAAUUAAAAAGCUGAUUCUUAAGGAGGGUUUGAUGUCAAGUUAUCAGCCGUCUUACUAUCAAACAUGAGAGUUGCAGCUGCUGGUGGCUGAUGUUUAUCCAUAUCAUCAUCGUCGUCGUCAUAGACAGUAGUACUCUUUCCCCGAUCAGAAACUUCUUCAGCUUGUUUUACUGCUGCAAUAUUGCGUGCACUUGAGAAUAGGUCAACAGUUUGAGAUUCAGCAAUCUUACUGUCUUGUUGAUUUUGAAUAUUGCGAGCACUAGACAAGAGAUCCACAGGUUGAGAUUCAGCAAUCUUUCCUCCUUCAAGAGGGGUACCUGCUUUAUACCUUAUUCUCAAAGCAUCAUCUUCACUUAGUCUUGCUUGAGUUAUCCCGUGAGUAAUAUCAUCUUUGCUCUUUGCCAUUAUUUUAUAAUAUAUUUCUUCUCUAUUUUUCUUUAGGUAUAUUGGUGAUGCUCUCAGUUUAGUGAUAUAAGCACUGCAUGCAGCGGGGAUGUUUCUGUAAGAAAGGGAGACAAGUGUGAUCUAUUUGUGAAGACGUGGACUCUCUUUCUUGCUGCCUAGUAGAAGCAGCUUGCAAAGCAAUACAAAGGGUAUUUUACAUUUAGCUCUUCACGCUAACCUAUUAAUAAAUUGUUAUAACUCACAUUUGAGAACAACAUAAACAAAUUAAUGACAUUUUCCUCCUUUGGCGACAAUUUCUCUCACGCCUCACAAAUGAGUCAAACUUUUAUUAGCUUUCUAUAUUGAUAAUUUUUUGUCUUUGUUUUUGUUUUACUUCUAUUUUUUCUUUUAUUCUAUGUGUCGAAGUUCGAUUGGAAACAGCCUCUUUGCCCUUUCGGGUAGGAAUAAGGCUCGCCUACAUAUUAUCCUCCCCAGACCCCACCUGGUGGAAGUAUAUUGGGUAGUUGUUAUUGUUGUUGUUACUGACCUAACAUAUAUUGUGUCUAAAUUAAAGGUAUACAACAGUAUAAUUUUAUUAGUGGGAUCUGAAAAGGGUAGUGUGUAUGUAUACUUUACCCUUAUCCUAAGGUAGGAAGGUUGUUUUCAAUAAAUUCUCGACAUCCUUCUUCCAAAAACUCCCUAAGAUACUUACUAUCAGAACAACUUACCUUAUCGUCAAAUAAUUUAGAAUAUUUUUAUAAAUAUACUCAUGAGUAUUUUUCUUUCUUCUAAGUUUGUUAAAAUAUGAACAAGAACUCACAUUUAGCACUGCAAUUUUUAUAGUUUUUGAUCUAUUUUCUGAUGUGCAGCUUUUGAGGUACAAAUUACUGUCCUAUUUAUUUAUUUAUUUGUCUCAUGCAGUUUUUGGUGCUGUGUCUUUUAAAUUACCGGGCCUUUCCUGCUAUUUUUUUGGGGGAAACUCAAAAAUUGCUAGUGUUCAUUCAAAAAUAGCCACAGUUUGAAAAGUAAUUAAAAUUUAAUUAUUUUUCAUAUAAAAAUAAAUUUGAACAAAAUAAUUAUUUAAAAUUCAAAAAUAGUCCAGCAUAAUAUAUUAAAAGUUAUACAGGAGUUCCAGCAUAAGUAUACUGUACUUGGAGCAUAAUAUAAUGGAGUUACAUCAUAAGUAUACUGGACUUCCAGUAUAGUAUUCUGAAGUUCCAGUACAAUAUACCGGUCCAACAUAAUACGCUAGAAGUUCAUACAUAUAUGCUCCAAUCUCUAGUAUAUUAUGAUAGAAGUUCAUACACAAGUGCAUCGAUCUCUAGUAUAUUAUGCUGGAACUUUCCGUGUUUCAGGAAAAUAGUAAUUUUUUUUUAAUAUUUUGCAAACGUUAAUUUUUGAAUGAUCCGUCCGAAAAUUAGAUAGCCCGUGUCAUUUUUACGAUAUUUUUAGAUUCUUCAACUAGUAGAAUAGCCUAGGAGACACUUGUACUUGUUCCGGUUUGUCAUUCCGGUCCCUAUACUCCAUAAGGUUUCAUCCAAACACUUCAACUUAAUCAAAACAAGAUUUUUAAACCCUUCUAACCGUUGACCGAACUUAUGUGGCAUUAAUAUAGCUGAAGUGGACGAAGUGAGUGAUUUACACGCACAUUAGGUGCGUGAGCUGAUGAUUUUUCUUUAUUAAAAAAAUAAAAAUAAAUAAAAAAAUACUACAACUCCCCCUUUGUUCUGCCCCCGAGUCAAGCAAUCUACUAAUGAUUUUGAUGUAAGGAGCGGAACUCUUAGGGGAUCUGUAGAACUCUUAAGAUUGUUUGAUUAUUCAAACGAUAUAAAGAAACAAAGGGGCGGGGAACAAGCACAAACAGAAAUCGACGGGAAAAGGUUGAAAUUCGCUUUCCCUUUCCCUUUUUUUUCAUCUUUCUUCAUCCCUUUUUUCUAUUAGAUUUUCUCCUUAGCAUGUAUUUCUUCUUCCAUCAUGUCAUCUUUCCCUUCUCUAUGACUCCUCCACUUUUUUUGGUGAUUUUAGCUUUCAAAUGUUUUCACGGUCCUUCCAAAUUAGGGUAGAUGAAUAAGUCAAAAUUCAAAAGACUUAACUCGCUGCUCCUGUAUUUGUCAUGGAUAGAUAACUUUCUUUAAAAGAUGAGUGAAUAAAAUAGUGGUAGUCAUAAUGAAAGAGGUGGGUGGGUUUGAAGAAGGGAGGAGGGUUUUUCUUUAAUUUUUAUUUUAAUUUUUUUUAUUUUUAUUUUAUUUUUUAUUUUUGAAUUAAAAUUUUAUUAAAUAAUAUUAUUUUGGCAUGUGGAUGCUGAUUUGUCAUUCAGGUCAAGCAAGUGAACAUCACACCUCCGGAGGGGUUUAAAAAUCUUGUUUUGAUUAAAUCAAGUGUUUGAAUAAAACUUUAUGGAGUGUAGGAAUCGAAAUAACAAACCAGAAUAAAUAUAAGUAUCUCCUAAACUAUUCUGCCAAAAUUAUAUUAAAAAACACGCAAAAGAAAAAAAAAAGAAAUAUCUCGUGGAAAAGAAACCAAAAAGGAACUCCUAUCAUUAGUCCCACACACAUCUUUUGGAUAACCCUGGGAGGGAGUGGACAGACUCGACCCUCACCAGAUGGUAUCAACUGUUUAAGUCCUUUUUACUAAUAUAACUUCAAAAAAGAAAAACAGUUUUUCCUGGAGCUGAAUAUAGUUCGAUUAGAGGCAAGGAGAAGAGGAAGGUCUCGUUAUUCUAGGAAUCAAGAAUGCAAUAAACUCUCUAAAGUCCUAUUGUAUGUUCCUUUUGUGCUGUUUCCUUACGAUCCCAUAUCAUAUUUUUGGUUUUUAUGAUUCUUUUCUGGUGCAAUUGUUAACAUUCCUAAACUAGGCUUCAAUCAUUUUCUUGAUUUCAUGGCCGUCCCGUUAAAUUCAGUGUCCACAGUUACAAAUCAAUCACCUGAGAAUGCAAGAAAUUCUUGUGGAUUCUUCACCCACAUACCAAAGUUCCUUCCUUUUUUCCACUCUAAUAAGACCAUUUCAAGAAAUUUUGCUUCUUCCCAAAUAACCCCACCUCUAAAUAAUAUUUUCACUCUGCCCAACUGGAGGUCUGGCAAGAAUGACCAAAGAAACAAAGAACUCAGACUUUAUGAUGCCUUUCUAUAUUUAGAAUACAUGGUUAGGAAAGGCCACAAGCCUGAUAAGAUUCAUGCAACUCAACUAUUGUAUGAUCUUUGUAAUUGUAAUAAACUUAGAAAAGCUGCUAGAGUUAUGGAAAUGAUGGUUACCUCUGGUACUAUACCUGAUGCUGCUUCUUACACUUUCUUGGUAAAUAACUUGUGUAAGAGAGGAAAUGUUGGUCAUGCAAUGCAAUUGGUUGAUAAAAUGGAAGAAUAUGGAUACCCUACUAAUACUGUCACUUACAAUUCUCUUAUAAGAGGACUUUGUAUGCGAGGGAACUUGAACAAAAGCCUUCAAUUCGUCGAAAAAUUGAUGCAAAAGGUGUUGGUACCAAAUGCAUAUACCUACUCCAUAUUGCUUGAGGCUACUUAUAAAGAAAAAGGGGUUAAUGAAGCAAUGUUGCUUUUAGACAAUAUUAUUGCCAAGGGUGGGAAGCCUAAUUUGGUUAGUUAUAAUGUUCUCUUAACUGGGUUGUGUAAAGAAGGAAGAAUAGAUGAAGCAAAAGAGCUCUUUAGAAACUUGUUUGGUUAGUUACAAUGUUCUCUUAACUGGGUUGUGUAAAGAAGGAAGAAUAGAUGAAGCAAAAGAGUUCUUUAGAAACUUGCCAUCGAAAGGGUUUAAUCCUAAUGUUGUUAGCUGUAAUAUCUUGUUGAGGAGCUUGUGCUUUGAAGGACGUUGGGAGGAAGCAAAUGAGCUUCUAGCGGAGAUGGUUGGAGAAGAACGUUCACCAUCUAUAGUAACGUACAAUAUAUUGAUUAGUUCCCUUGCUCUUCACGGUCAAACAGAUCACUCCCUCAAGAUUCUGGACGAAAUGUACUUUGGAGAGCAGUUCAAGCCAAUUGCUGCUAGCUAUAACCCUAUAAUUGCGCGUCUCUGCAAAGACAGGAAAGUGGAUGCAGUAAUUAAGUGUCUCGACCAAAUGUUAGAACGGCAUUGUAGUCCUAACGAAGGAACAUACAAUUCCAUUGCAGUGCUUUGCGAGGAAGGAGUGGUGCACGAGGCCUUUUCUAUUCUCCAGGCUUUGAGGAUUAAGCAGAGCUCCUCCACUCAUGAUUUCUACAGAGCCGUGAUUUCUGGUCUGUGCAGGAAAGGAAACACAUUUGCAGCAUUUCAGCUUUUGUAUGAAAUGACAGCCCAUGGAUUCAAUCCCGACUCUUACACCUAUUCAUCGUUGAUCAGAGGAUUGUGCUUGGAGAAGAUGUUGGUUGCUGCUGUUGAUGUAUUUUAUGUCAUGGAGGAAAAUGGAUAUAGGCCUGAUGUUGACAAUUUCAAUGCACUUGUGCUUGGUCUAUGUUGUGUAGGAAAGGAAACACAUUUGCAGCGUUUCAGCUUUUGUAUGAAAUGACUGCCCAUGGAUUCAAUCCUGACUCUUACACCUAUUCAUCGUUGAUCAGAGGAUUGUGCUUGGAGAAGAUGUUGGUUGCUGCUGUUGAUGUAUUUUACAUCAUGGAAGAAAAUGGAUAUAGGCCUGAUGUUGACAAUUUCAAUGCACUUGUGCUUGGUCUAUGCAAAUCAAGAAGAACAGACUUGUCGCUAAAGGUAUUUGAGGACAUGAUCAGCAAAGGUUAUAUGCCCAAUGAGAUAACAUAUACCAUUCUAGUGGAAGGGAUCAUACAUGAAGAACACAAGGAGCUUGCAUCAUUAGUCCUCAAGGAAUUGCAUCUUAGACAAGUAAUAAGUAGAAAUACUGUUGAAAGACUUGUUAUGCAAUAUGAGCUCGAACUUGAGGAUAUAUUAGUACAGUGAAUUUUUCACAACAAUGGUUAAUAUUGGGUCACAGGAUGAGAAACUAAUAAAAGCUAUCUAUUCAUCAGCAAAUGCUAAUACACCAAAUCAACAAGAAGAUUCUCAUGUUGCCGGUCAGAUGGAGAACUUUAUACAACUAAUAACCACUUGAGAUACGAUAGUUGGUUCAUAAGAGGUCAGAUGAAACAUGUUCAUUACUGUAUUUUUACCUUAAGCUUACUCUUUGUUACUGAAAUGAAUGUUACAGAAAUGGCUGAAUAUCUCCUUUAUCUCAAGCUUUCUCACUAUUUUGUAUUAGAGUAUAAGUUCUAUAUACUAACAAUAUAAAAAAGUCACUUAAAAGGCAAUUGCAGGUAAUUCUCUAAGUAAUCAUUAAUUGAUAAUCUUAAAAAAAAAAAAAAAGGGAAGCAGUCUUUCAUAAAAGCUCAAAAUAAACCAAUAGUUUAUAAAGACCAUUUACAUUAUCAGUGCAUAACUGCAUAUAACUUAAAUCCUUUGUGCCAUUAUUGUAUAUACAGUAUCUUUUGUAUUAAGUGUAACCUUGCAGCUUCUUUCCCCUGGUUAUAUUGUACUACUUAGUUUUAUACAGAAAUAGUAGCAACACUGAAAUUCUUUUUGCUACAGUGUCAUUCUUAAUUUUUCUAAAGUUCAGCAUCAUGGUUUAGAUCAUGGUACAGUUCCAAUUUAGUCUCAGUCUCUUAAUUAGCAGUUUCUAUGAGGAAAGAGGCAAGCCUAGAUAAUACACCACGAAUGACAUCCUUGGACUAACCAUUCUUUUCUUGAUGAGGUUAAUUUUUUUUUAAAAAAAACAGUAGGAGAAUGUUGAGCAUGAGAAAAUUGUUGCUGGCCAAGGUGUAAUCUCUAGCAUAGCUACAAGUUACUGUCACGCUAUUUUUUCCACAAAUGUGAAAACUUUUUAACAUAUUUUGUAAAUUCUACAGCCGCUAUGUUGGUGACUAUUUUUGAGACAUGGUCUGAAAAAUGUAAUCUAUUUUUAUGAGCAGGAAAAGGAAAUAAAUGAUAUGACUCCCAAGUCUUUGGGCGGUUCAACUCAUCAUGAAUAUGAAAAUACUUAGACACUGAUUUUUAGUGGCUAUUAUUAACCGUUUCCCCAUAGUUUCAUGUGCUACUUCCAUUGAAUGCAAGGCAAGACAGCUACUUUACCUUUCAAAUAGCCGUCAGCAGAUUCUUGUACAUGGAUACAAAGGGGUUGAUGCCAAUCCAUUCGGUUUUGGGCACCCAGAAAUGCCAGAGCUUGCUGCUUAUAUUCAGUUUGAAUAUUAUUUGGAAAUUGUUCCUAAUAUAAUCUUAUUUUCAUACCUUAAUUAUCGUUGGUCAAGUCUUUGUUUCCUAAAAUCAAGAAAGUUUAAGACAGCUAAAUGGAGAGUUUUGCUAGCAACUCAACUUUGCACUCGUAGGCAGGGGCUAUGUGAGUUCAUCCAAAUCCAAUAACUUUGUAAAACCUUGUACACAUGUUAAUAGAUUUAGUAAAUAAGUAAUAUAAUAAAUUUCAAACCCAAUAAACUAAACGAGCUGUGAUAUAAUCCCGAACUCAACCCAUAAAGCUCAAAUUUUGCUGUUAAGUUUCCUACUAUGAUUUUGAAUGCAAAAACACUGCCACAAACGUACGUUUAUACUCUCCUAAUGUCUCUUACCGUAGUUGGACACUUCCCACCUUCCCCUAGGCAUCUAACACCAGCUUUUGGAUGGGACUUCCCCUAUGAGUCUCCAUUUUCAAUUCCACCAUUGUACGCUCCACUAUGUUAUACUCUUAAACCAUGCAUUGAUUUCCGGCUCAAAACUUGCAACUCAGCAUAUCGAUUCGACAUGUAUUUGUUUAAUUUUUCUUUUCAUCUUGGCAUUUGGAAGUUCUACUCUAAUGUUACUUCCUCCAUUUCAAAAUAAAUAAUUUUUGAUAUUUUUCUUGCAAUCCAAAAUAAAUAAUUUUUGUAAAUUAAUUAUUUUUUUCCUACAUUAUCCUUGGAGUAAAUAGUAUUAGAAUAUGUGUUAGAAAUAUUUAUGUGAGAUUGUAAAUAUUAAUAUUAUCAAUUUUAUUGCUAUUUAAUAUUAAAAAGUGAAUUUCUUAAUUUAUGUAAAAAAAUCACUAACUUUGAACCGGAGGUAGAGUACUAAACUUCUUUUUUGUUCUUGUAAAUAUGCAAUGACAGUUAUUACAGAUGAAAGUACAUUUAAGUGGUGUGGUACACUCGUUUUAACUAUUUUCAUCAUGACCUACGAUAUGAUUCAACAAUCAGUGGAGUAGUAUUUUGCGCAGUCUUGAUCCCAAGACUCUAUACCUUUUUCAUGCUUUCAUAUUUUUGAACACCAAGCAAGCAUGAGCUAGACUCAGUCCCUGCCAGUGUUUCACAUCAGCCGUGCAUCUUGAGGCUUCGCCUCAUGUUUAACCCUAGCAACUCUCACCAGAAACAGAUGACAGUUCAUCUCAAGAACAUCACUCGGAGCAUAACAUUUAGUCAAACUAUAAUCAAAUGAGAUGCAACCCAGGCAAACAGAAAUCCUCUCAAGAAAGUCAGCUUAAAAGAGAAUAGGUUCGGGAUAAUCUUCCAUAUAUCUUAGGUGGACAAAACUAGCAAGUUGCCCAAAAACACAAAUCAACAUCCUUACAAGUAAUAGAAGAACUAAACUAAGCUCCUUCAUAGAACAUAGUAGAUUAAUUAAUGCAGCUUCAAACAACAGACAAUCUCUGGAGCUGCAAGAGAGAUGGACAGCAAGAGGACAAGGGCAGCAGAUUCACCCAAGAAUGCAUCCUAGGCAUCUAGAACCCUGGUCUACUUAGAUCUCUGUCUCAUCUUUCUGCGCUUCCUCUUCAGUCUCCUCAUACGCUUCUUCUUCCACUGCAUUUAAAAAAGAAAUAUUAAAGGCUGCCAUAUGGUAAGCAACCCCCACUUCCAACCGAGAGAUUGUGAGUUCGAGUCUCCCCAAGAGCAAAGGUGGAAAGUUCUUGGAGCGGAGGAUGCCGGGGGUCUAUUUGGAAACAGCCUCUCUACCCCAGGGUAGGGGUAAGGUCUCCGUACAUACUANNNNNNNUCUAUUUGGAAACAGCCUCUCUACCCCAGGGUAGGGGUAAGGUCUGCGUACAUACUACCCUCCCCAGACCCCACUAAGUAGGAUUAUACUGGGUUGUACUUUUUUAAAGGCUGCCAUAGUUACAGUUAUAAGAGAGAACAAAAAUCUUAGCAAACUCCCUUCAGGUACACUUAAUUGUUAUCUAAAGAGGGUUAAAAAAACCAUUCUCUCAGCUUUCCUCUUGAUCUCUUUGGCUACAUUCUCAAUACAACUCUGAAUCCAGAUCUCUACUCCAUUCCAGGGCCUCACACUAAAUCAGUACAUUCUUAUAUUUUUUUCCCAUAUAAAGCCCAUUAAAUACUUCUUUUAUGGCAAAAUCAGGACUUCAGAAUGUUUCUUUACCCCAACAAAAGAUCACAAAAGGCACAGCACACAUCAAAUAAGCUCUAGUUUGUGCACGAAAAAAUAGUAGUCUGUCUAAACAAAAUACAUGUUCAUGACAGAGAGUCCACCACACAAAAGAGUACUUUUUUUAUAACCAUGGUAUCAAGGCAGCUUACGCACCUCAACUACCUCCCACUCCCACCAGGACAGGUACCAAGUACCAUUAUCCACCACGGCUUGGACAAAUAAGAAAUCACCUAAUGUUUUUGCCCCUGCUACAUUGACCACUAGCGCGCACACACUCGCCACCCAUAUAAAUGCCAUCGUAAUGUCACUAAAACACAAAGUUUAUUAAAAAGCACUGAUUUAAAUAGUCAGUCUAAUUUUGUUCCUCUUCCCAUCGCAAUCUACUACACCAUCAUAUUAAAAGAUAAGUGUAUCUCAUAUCAUACUCAGUUAGACUAGAAAAAUCCCUUCUACCAUUCCAACUGCCCUUAAUGUCAUUUGAAUAGAAAAUUUUCGCCUAUGGACCCUUCUACCAUUCUCUCUGGACACUCUUGUCUUGCGCUAGAAGGAGCAAAUGAUGGAGAUGGCUGGGAGGGUAGAGAUCUGCGAAAAGGCAAUGUGGGCGCAAUCUUGGGAAUGGCGCAGAUAUAGGCUGACUGACAGGGUUAGGCAUGUGAAACAAGAAUCAGAAAGCUGAUCGAAUGAUGCAGGUGAGAAAACAAAGAGACGACUGAUGGAGAAACUAUGGGAUUUCACAUGCUGGAGAAACCAGUCCCAGCAAUUAUUUUCUCAAAGUAGGACACAAGUAUUCCAAGUUUCUAACUAAUGGGGCUUCCUAUGACUUUCUCAAUUUGCUAUUGAGGUUGGUGCAGGGAGAGUGGAUUUGCUUAUAUAGCCGUUGGAUGUCAACAAACUCCAGUAAAAAUCUGAAGCAAUCAUAACAUUGCAGAGCCAAAAAAAAAUAGAGAAGACACUGAAGAGGGCCUUCCAGGGCUCCAAUUAGAAUCAGCAAGCUGUAGAGAAGUCAAAAGGGCAGUGUUUUCCAAAUUAAAACUUGCUGAAGUAAACAAUUUUUUUCUCCUGGCUUAUAUAGCUAACAACAACUAUGUCUCCAUGCCAAACAAGAUGGGGUCAGCUGUAUGAAUACAUAUAUAGCAUAGUGCAGAAAUUCCCCAGAUAUAUGGUUUUCUAUGACAUGAAGUUGGUGAGGAUGGCAUAAUCCUGUUUCUUAUAUAUUAGCAUGCUAAACAUAAUAUCUAAGUAAGGUAAUUUCUCUCUGCGUAGGAGUACAUUCAUGAUUCCAUUGACCACCUUAUAAAGAAAGAGAAAUCAUAUUUUCUUUCAGGGGGGCACAGAAUCAAAUAAUGAGUUCAAAAGUGGCUCAAGGAAAGUAUGAUGGGUUAGAAGUAGGUCAAGUAUUAAGUCUUAUAUCCUGUUCAAAAUAUAACAGGCAACGAAAGCAACAGACCCUUUAAUCCAUCGCAGUAACACAAAUGCAGAACAUUACCAUCAUACAUCAAUUGCAAGUUUAAACUAAAACAUGAAUUCAAACACG